AAUAGCCAAAGAUCGCGGCCGGGUUCAAAGUCGGAUUGGCAAUCACACGGACAUCGCCACCACCUGGGGCCCAAGUGUCAUAGACACCCCCAAAGAACAUGGCUUUGAACACUAACAGGAAAGCCCCCAGACCCAAUAUAAUCAGGUGAUACCCGAUAAUAUUGGUCAUUUGGUUUUUGUCUUUCCA
rfam:Planktothrix agardhii NIVA-CYA 126/8 chromosome, whole genome shotgun sequence.